AAAUUGAAGAGUUUGAUCAUGGCUCAGAUUGAACGCUGGCGGCAGGCCUAACACAUGCAAGUCGAACGGUAACAGGAAGCAGCUUGCUGCUUCGCUGACGAGUGGCGGACGGGUGAGUAAUGUCUGGGAAACUGCCUGAUGGAGGGGGAUAACUACUGGAAACGGUGGCUAAUACCGCAUAACGUCGCAAGACCAAAGAGGGGGACCUUCGGGCCUCUUGCCAUCAGAUGUGCCCAGAUGGGAUUAGCUUGUUGGUGAGGUAACGGCUCACCAAGGCGACGAUCCCUAGCUGGUCUGAGAGGAUGACCAGCCACACUGGAACUGAGACACGGUCCAGACUCCUACGGGAGGCAGCAGUGGGGAAUAUUGCACAAUGGGCGCAAGCCUGAUGCAGCCAUGCCGCGUGUAUGAAGAAGGCCUUCGGGUUGUAAAGUACUUUCAGCGGGGAGGAAGGUGUUGCGGUUAAUAACCGCAGCAAUUGACGUUACCCGCAGAAGAAGCACCGGCUAACUCCGUGCCAGCAG
rnacentral:rRNA from 1 species